ACUAUUUUGGCAGAUAAGUGCAUUGGAUUUAGAAUCUAUGAAUGUAAAUUUUUUUAAUUUACAAGUAGUA
rnacentral:tRNA from 3 species